GGAAGGGGAGGAUGAGUACAGAGUGAGCCAUGGAACACGGAACCAAGAGACACCCACAAGAUCAGCCCAGAUUAGGUGAGAGCGUGGUGAAUGUUGCCCUUUGUUGACAGGACACUGUGUGCACAAUGAAAAUCCCAAGUGAUGAGCUUGGGUUUUUUUGACAUUGCUCCAGAAACAAAGCAACUUUUGCAUGCAACUUCCAUCUGCAGAUCUGAGUCUAAUUUGAGACAACCUGAAAAGCCAAAAUGUGUUGAAGAAUGGUGACAACCAGGACUACAUCAGCUAGCACCCCUGAGAACAAAGCUUUCAGUGUGUUCAGAUAAGGAACAAAAGAUUGAUCCCAGCCAUGACAGAUGGAAUGCACCAUAGAAUUUAACUUGCUGAAUGAAGACCUACAAGCAGAAUCUGCUCUUCUCUC